rnacentral:rRNA from 1 species
UACGUAGGGGGCUAGCGUUGUCCGGAAUCAUUGGGCGUAAAGAGCGCGUAGGCGGCCCGGUAAGUCUGCUGUAAAAGUCAAAGGCUUAACCUUUGAAAGUCAGUGGAUUACUGCCGGGCUAGAGUCCGGAAGAGGCGAGUGGAACUCCUGGUGUAGCGGUGGAAUGCGCAGAUAUCAGGAAGAACAGCCAACGGCGAAGGCAGCUCGCUAGGACGUUACUGGACACUGAGGCGCCGAAAGCCGUUGGGGAGGCGAAACGGAAUUAGAUCCCGUGAGAUCGAAGACCCAAGUACCUACGUUCGACUCACCGUUA